AGAGGCAGAGCUCUGGGGAGUCUCCACCAUGGCCUGGACCCCUCUCCUGCUCACCCUCCUCACUCUCUGCACAGGUUCUGUCGUCUCCUCUGAGCUGACACAGCCAGCCGAAGUGUCCGUCGAGUUGGGACAGACAGCCAGGAUCACCUGCCAGGGAGGCAGCUUUGGAAGUUAUUCUGCCAGCUGGUACCAGCAGAAGCCAGGCCAGGCCCCUGUAUUGGUUGCCUAUAGUGAUAACUACCAGCCCACAGGGAUUCCUGACAGAUUCUCAGGCUCCUACUCAGGGAACACAGCCACCCUGACCAUCAGCGGAGCCCAGACAGAGGAUGAGGCUGACUAUUACUGCCAGUCAUUGGACAGCAGUGCUAAUGCUCACAGUGACACAGGCUGA